UAAGUUAUCUCUUCGUUUCGAUGAGAUGUCUCUCGAUUCUAAAGCUGAUAUUUUGCAUCCUCUGGAGAUGAUGACAACACUACAAUGUUUUCAACUUGUUGGAGUUAUGGAAUACUAAUUACGAUACUUACCACACGUUUUCUAGUGUGGGCCAUUAACCUUGGAACAAAAGAGUGGUGAGAUCGUUAAGUAUGUUCCCAAUUGACAACACCAAUAAUUCUGAUCGGGUCUAAGAUUGACGGUCUGAGAGUUGGUUGGAUUGUUAAAGGUAACAGCGAUUGAUUAACUGCUCCAUGAAAGAGGGUGAUGUACCUGCAAAGACUCUGACACUAAAGUAGGUAACAACUGUGUGAGCUUUUUACGAUUAAAAAUAGUGUACUUGGACAAUUAAAGUUAUAAUACUCAAAACUUUGAUUGUCUGGUUAUCUCGUAUGAUAUACAUUUCAUAUGAAUUGGUGGUAUAUAGUGGAAUGAAAUAAAAUAAGAUGUAAUAAGAUAGUCAAUUUUAGAAAGAGAAAUGAUAUUUGAACAUUCAUUUAUUGACAACUUUUGUGACAACUUUCUCUCUCAUACUCACAUCAUUUUGCUUUAUCUCUCUAUUGCUUUGGUUUCCGUGCAAAUAUGUACUUUAUCUUUGCAAAUUAUGAUUGUCACUUAAGUUGUCAGCCAAAUUGUUUGUUCAAAUAUUACUCCUCUUUUAAAAAUUGGAUUUUAUCUCAUUUCAUUUCACUCAAUUUUAUGCUAUACCACUAACCCAUUAAUGUAUUUUUUAUAUAUGUACUUAUUGUAUACAAUAUUACUCCCACCAGUUGUAGGGUGUUUUUUUAUGUUGUUUUCUUUUUUCUUGCUUUCUGUUUUCUCUUUGGAGGGUUUUAGUAUAGUCUCCUCUCCUUUAUAUUUAUUUUUCCUUUUUUUAAUAAUAUUUUAGAGUUUAGCGGCAUAGGAUGAAAGUUUCUCGGGGUGCCAAUCUAGUUGGGAUAUCGAUGUUGCCUCUUGAUGCAUGUCCACUCUCUUUAUUUAUAAAAAAAAUAUUACUCCCACUAGUCGAAAUUUCUUAAUCCAACCCUCUUUAUAUGGUAGUAGAUUGAUUCAUGG
rnacentral:lncRNA from 1 species